GCACCGAACACUUUAAAAAUGGCUUGCGUACAAAAGUGGAAGGCUUAAACGCAAUUUGUAUUUAUAGGGUGCAAAUUUAAGGCCACAUAAAAUAAAUUCUUUGAUUCUCAUCACCACCCGACGGCAUUUGGAGUCCCGCUUUGAUAUUUGUUUUUAUUUUGUUAUAAAAUAUAGAUGUAGAACUCCCGACCUAGCAUCUUUACAGAUUUAGUUUUUUUAUAUUUUGUAUUGGAAUUUUUAAUAUAACGAUAUUAUUUUGCGAGAUCGCAAUUGAAAUCGCUCACUUUUUGAGGGAUAUGCGUAAUGUUGAAGGUAAACAUGGGAUUAUGCAAUACAAUGAUCUGAGGACCCUUGUGUAUCAGUGUAUGUUCAUUAUAUACCACUAUAAACGCUGUAUGUUCAUUAUACCACGAUAUCCCGCUAAGCGGGCAAGUUGUGUUCAUAUGCAUGGGAAAAACAUCCCAGUCACCAAGAUCUAGCCUGUCAACAAGCAAGAUCUCAGUACACAGGAAAACUUUCGUCUCAUAUGAACGCCGUGUAACUUUUCAUAUUAUUUUCAUACCAAGGCCAGACCUCGCUUGUAAACUUGUCGAAAAGUUUUCUCACUAACCGGGAUAAAUUUUGCCCAUAUGAACAGGCCCUAAGCUCUGGGUAAUAGAAUGUGGCAUCUAAGCCUACCUCCACCAAAAUAAAAUCUACAGGUAUGAUUGACAGGAUUUUGGCCACCACACUCAAUAUAACUACUUGUUGAAGUGUUUUGUAGAUGGAAACUUCCAGUGUGAAUUUUUAUACAUUUAUUAAACCUACAGUAACCAGAAGCAGUUGCCAAAAAUGCAACUUAUAGACUAAGGUCCUCUGACAGGAAUCUGCAAUCCUGCGAUUCUGUGCAGCACUCCAACCAACUGAGGUACAGAGAUCAGUGUCUGUAGUUACAACUGUUCCUGGUCAGGUCUAAUAAAUAUAGAGAAUAAUACAUGGGUGCACGAAAUACCAGAUUUAUUUCGAGUGUUGAACAUGAUAUUUCACGAGUGAGCACAGCGAACGAGUGAGAUACCUGUAUCAUGUUCAACACGAGAAAUAAAUCUGGUAUUUCCAAGCACCCAUGUAUUUUCUG
rnacentral:lncRNA from 1 species